rnacentral:rRNA from 1 species
AUUGAACGCUGGCGGCAGGCCUAACACAUGCAAGUCGAACGGUAACAGAAAGCAGCUUGCUGCUUUGCUGACGAGUGGCGGACGGGUGAGUAAUGUCUGGGAAACUGCCUGAUGGGGGGGGAUAACUACUGGAAACGGUAGCUAAUACCGCAUAACGUCGCAAGACCAAAGAAGGGGACCUUCGGGCCUCUUGCCAUCGGAUGUGCCCAGAUGGGAUUAGCUAGUAGGUGGGGUAAAGGCUCACCUAGGCGACGAUCCCUAGCUGGUCUGAGAGGAUGACCAGCCACACUGGAACUGAGACACGGUCCAGACUCCUACGGGAGGCAGCAGUGGGGAAUAUUGCACAAUGGGCGCAAGCCUGAUGCAGCCAUGCCGCGUGUAUGAAGAAGGCCUUCGGGUUGUAAAGUACUUUCAGCGGGGAGGAAGGGAGUAAAGUUAAUACCUUUGCUCAUUGACGUUACCCGCAGAAGAAGCACCGGCUAACUCCGUG